rnacentral:rRNA from 1 species
AAUGAACGUUGGCGGCAUGGAUUAGGCAUGCAAGUCGAGCGAGAAGGGUUUUGAAGCUUGCUUUAGAACCCGGAAAGCGGCGCAAGGGAGAGUAACGAGUAGUUAUCUACCCCAAGGCCCGGAAUAGCUGCGGGAAACUGCAGGUAAUGCCGGAUAAUAUCCCCGGAUCAAAGGUGUGAUUCCGCCUUGGGAGGAGACUGCUUUGUACUAGCUAGUUGGUAGGGUAAUGGCCUACCAAGGCUACGAUGCAUAGCGGGCGUGAGAGCGUGGCCCGUCUCACUGGGACUGAAACACUGCCCAGACACCUACGGGUGGCUGCAGUCGAGAAUCUUCGGCAAUGGGCGAAAGCCUGACCGAGCGAUGCCGCGUGCGGGAUGAAGGCCCUCGGGUUGUAAACCGCUGUCGUAGAGGAGAAAGGUCUGAUGAAGAAUCAGAUUUGAUCUAUUCUAGGAGGAAGUCGGGGCUAAGUUCGUGCCAGCCGCCGCCGUAA